AACGAACGCUGGCGGCAUGCCUAACACAUGCAAGUCGAACGAUUGCCUUCGGGUGAUAGUGGCGCACGGGUGCGUAACGCGUGGGAAUCUGCCCUUAGGUUCGGAAUAACGGCUGGAAACGGCUGCUAAUACCGGAUGAUAUCGCGAGAUCAAAGAUUUAUCGCCUGAGGAUGAGCCCGCGUUGGAUUAGGUAGUUGGUGGGGUAAAGGCCUACCAAGCCGACGAUCCAUAGCUGGUCUGAGAGGAUGAUCAGCCACACUGGGACUGAGACACGGCCCAGACUCCUACGGGAGGCAGCAGUGGGGAAUAUUGGACAAUGGGCGCAAGCCUGAUCCAGCAAUGCCGCGUGAGUGAUGAAGGCCCUAGGGUUGUAAAGCUCUUUUACCCGGGAAGAUAAUGACUGUACCUGGAGAAUAAGCCCCGGCUAACUCCGUG
rnacentral:rRNA from 1 species